GCUGGGCGCAGUGGCGCGUGCCUGUAGUCCCAGCUACUCGGAAGGCUGAGGUGGGAGGAUCACUUCAGCCCAGGAGUUCUGGGAUAUCGUGCAUUAUGCCAAUUGGGUGUCCGCACUAAGUUUGGCAUCAAUAUGGUGACCUCCUGGGAAUGGGGGACUAUCAGGUUGCCUAAGGAGGGGUGAACCGGCCCAGGUGGGAAACAGAGCAAGUCAAAACUUUGUGCUGAUCCACAGUGGGACUGCACCUGUGAAUAGCCACUGCACUCCAGCCUGGGCAACAUAGCGAGACACCGUCUUUU
rnacentral:SRP_RNA from 2 species